UGGGGAAUAUUGCGCAAUGGGCGAAAGCCUGACGCAGCGACGCCGCGUGGGUGAUGAAGGCCUUCGGGUCGUAAAGCCCUGUCGGGAGGGAAGAAACCUCGGUAGCCUAAUACGCUAUCGACCUGACGGUACCUCCUAAGGAAGCACCGGCUAACUCCGUGCCAGCAGCCGCGGUAAUACGGAGGGUGCAAGCGUUGUUCGGAAUCACUGGGCGUAAAGCGCGUGUAGGCGGUUUCUCAAGUCUGGUGUGAAAGCCCGGGGCUCACCCCCGGAAGGGCACUGGAAACUAGGAGACUGGAGUACCGGAGAGGAGGGUGGAAUUCCUGGUGUAGCGGUGAAAUGCGUAGAUAUCAGGAGGAACACCGGUGGCGAAGGCGACCCUCUGGACGGAUACUGACGCUGAGACGCGAAAGCGUGGGGAGCAAACAGGAUUAGAUACCCUGGUAGUCCACGCUGUAAACGAUGGGCACUAGGUGUUCGGGGUAUUGACCCCCUGAGUGCCGCAGCUAACGCAUUAAGUGCCCCGCCUGGGGACUGCGGCCGCAAGGUUA
rnacentral:rRNA from 1 species